rnacentral:rRNA from 1 species
AUGCAUGUUUUUUUUAAUCAGCUAUAUGUUGGGACUUCACGAGCAUUUGGAGCCGGCUGCAGUUGCGUUCCGGCCGCAGUAGUUGAGGACGAGGGGGAUGUCGAGCGGCAGGUUGAUGGGGAUGCCGAGGACGCUGAGCUUGAUGGCGGCGCAGAGGCAGGCGGCGACGUCGAGCUUGACGAGCUGCCCGAUCAUGGGGCAGCACUGCUGGUUGGCCGGCACGUUGAUCUUGAGCUUGAGCAGCACCAGCACGUCGGCGCACACCUUGAGGUCGGCCAGCGCGUUCGUCGGGCACGGGUUGCGGCCGGCCGCGGGGGUCUGGCCGCGGACCCCGGCGACCAGGAGGAGGUUCAGCGCCAGGAAGAGCGCCGGGAAACAUGCUGUGGGUUUGGACGCCAUUGCUUCGAUGCAAGUCCGGGAGUGGAAGUGCACGUACGUAGUGGUGCUCUGGAUUGUAGCGUAGGUCAUUCACAGGCGUGGGAUGGCUCUUCUGGCAUGGCUGUGUGGAGCAUUUAUAGUCAAAUGAUCUCUCUACUCUACGUGAGUGGAUUUGAUGAUGGCCGGUGGUGGAAUAAGAGGUGUCCUCCCAGGAGAUAUUUUGCUGGCAGCUCGAUCGUAGUGGCGUGUGUGUGA